GGUAUCGAGUAGUCGAUUUAUUUUGAGUGGUAAAGUUUGUCGGGGUGUGAUAAGAAAAAUAUUUUUGAGGGAAAGUAAGAAGAAGAGUGUUUUGGUUCGGCGAUAGGAGAGGAGUACUGUAAAGGAAGGUUGAAAUAGUCUUAGAGUCGGUCAAGAGGAAAGUAGGAGUGGGAUGUUGUACCUUGUGUAUUAGGGAUAUUUUAUUUACAUUAAUUAUUUUAUUUAUCCCGAAAGAGAGAGAGCUAAGUUGGAAAGGGAGUUUUUGUAGUAAAAAGAUUUAGGAUGCUGAUUUAGUGGUGAAAUGUUAGUCGAGCUUUUUAAUAUCUGGUUUCUUUGGAAAUAAAUUGAAUUUAGCGUUUAUAUAGCAGUCAGGUAAAAUGAAGGGGCAGGAGGGGAGAGCUUUUUGUUUAAAUUUUUAGUACUUUAGGAAGGGGGAUACAAAAGAGGGGUUUAGCUAGGCUUAGAGGUAGCUUUGCGGGUAAAGUGUUAUAACUAAGAUUAAUUUUUUAAUAAUUUUUUUUUGCUUUUUAGAGGAGUACAAGGGAGAACUUUGAUCCGGAGUUUAAGUUGGAAAAAUGGAUGUAUUAGUAUAUUGGUGGAGUGGAAUAAAGAGAAAAUAGUGGAAUAAAUGGAAAUUUUAAUUAGGGCUAUUCUUAAUAGAGGAAUUCGGCAAAUUUUAUUUCCGCCUGUUUAUCAAAAACAUCUCUGUAUGAGAGAUCUAUAGAGUCUGACCUGCCCGUUGGAAACUGAAAGGCCGCGGUAUUUUGACCGUGCGAAGGUAGCAUAAUCAUUAGUCUUUUAAUUGGAGGCUUGGAUGAAGGGUUGGACGAGAAAUUAGCUGUCUUUGUUGGGGGAAUGGAAUUUAACUUUUAAGUGAGAGGGCUUAAAUGAGCUAAAGGGACGAUAAGACCCUAUAAAGUUUGACACUAACUCCAAUAGAGGGGCUAAGUGAGUUAAGUAAAAUUAAUUAGUGGGAAGGUGUUUUGUUGGGGCGACAAAGAUAUAAGAAAUUUAACUGUCUUUAGGUUAAGCCAGAGAUAUUUGUAGAAGGAGAUCCUUGUUAAAGGUGCUAGAAUAAAUUACUUUAGGGAUAACAGCGUGAUUUUCUUUGAGAGUUCCUAUCGACGAGAGAGUUUGCGACCUCGAUGUUGAAUUAAAGAGUCUUUACGGCGUAGCGGCUGUGGAAGAGGGUCUGUUCGACCUUUAAAUCUUUACAUGAUUUGAGUUCAGACCGGUGUGAGCCAGGUUGGUUUCUAUCUUUUAGGCUAGGUAGAAGUUACUUUAGUACGAAAGGAUUGAGUAGCUGAAAUAUUUUUCGUAAAAUUUAGAAGAAAAAAAAGUGCCCUUGGGUUUUGGUGCGUGUAAGUGUAAAGAGCACAGAA
rnacentral:rRNA from 1 species